rnacentral:rRNA from 1 species
UCUGGUGACCAUAGGUACGGGGAAACACCGGUUCCCAUCCCGAACACCAGCGUUAAGCCCGUAACCGCCGAUGGUAGUGCCACCUCGAUGUGGUGUGAGAGUAGGUUAUCGCCAGGU